rnacentral:rRNA from 1 species
UGACCUCAAAUCAGGUAGGACUACCCGCUGAACUUAAGCAUAUCAAUAAGCGGAGGAAAAGAAACUAACAAGGAUUCCCCUAGUAACUGCGAGUGAAGCGGGAAGAGCUCAAAUUUUGAAUCUGGCAGUCCUUGGCUGUCCGAGUUGUAAUCUAGAGAAGUGUUUUCCGCGCUGAACCGUGUAUAAGUCUCCUGGAAGGGAGCGUCGUAGAGGGUGAGAAUCCCGUCUUUGACACGGACUACCAGUGCUAUGUGAUGCGCUCUCGACGAGUCGAGUUGUUUGGGAAUGCAGCUCAAAACGGGUGGUAAACUCCAUCUAAAGCUAAAUACAGGCGAGAGACCGAUAGCGAACAAGUACCGUGAGGGAAAGAUGAAAAGAACUUUGGAAAGAGAGUUAAACAGUACGUGAAAUUGCUGAAAGGGAAACGCUUGAUGUCAGUCACGUUGACUAGGGAUCAACCUUGCUUCUCGCUGGGUGUACUUCCUGGUCGACGGGUCAGCAUCAGUUUCAGUCACCGUACAAGGGUGAGGGGAACGUGGCACUCCUCGGAGUGUGUUAUAGCCUUUCGUCGUAUGCG